rnacentral:tRNA from 1 species
GCGGGAAUAGCUCAUUCGGUAGAGCGCUGCCUUGACAAGGCAGAGGUGGCG